GUCGGCGUCGUCACCGUCCAGCCGCAAUCCGUGCCGGUCUUCACCGAACUGCCGGGCCGCACCAGUGCGUUCCUCGUCGCGCAGGUGCGCGCGCGGGUCGACGGCAUCGUGCAGCGCCGCGAGUUCGUCGAAGGCAGCGACGUGAAGGCGGGCCAGCGUCUCUACAAGAUCGA
rfam:Burkholderia sp. lig30 ctg37, whole genome shotgun sequence.